UAGCAUGUCCUUGGUCCAGCAAUCCAAAGU
rnacentral:piRNA from 1 species